UACAGGGGGUGCAAACGUUGCUCGGAAUCAUUGGGCGUAAAGCGCACGUAGGCGGUUCGUUAUGUCGGAUGUGAAAGCCCUUGGCUUAACCGAGGAAGUGCAUCCGAAACUGGCGAGCUAGAGUACGAAAGAGGAUCGCGGAAUUCCCGGUGUAGAGGUGAAAUGCGCAGAUAUCAGGAGGAACACCGGUGGCGAAGGCGGGUCUCUGGGCCGUAACUGACGCUGAGGAGCGAAAGCGUGGGGAGCGAACAGG
rnacentral:rRNA from 1 species